CGAGUCAAUACACGUAUACAUGCAGGGAAUAUCUACAACACAGUCAUUAGUUGCCUACAUUUGGGCCAAAAAAUAAAUGGGGCCUGUGCCUAUACAUGCUUGUAUACACCAGCAUCCCUUUUUGACAGCUUGCUGUCAUACAUGUGACACAAAAGCCAGACUCUUGAUGUGAAUGAUCCCUACUGUGGGUACGGGAACUCAUGACCAUCCAUAGCUUAACUCUACAGGGUACAAUGAGGAUGGAAGAAUCACGUAGAGGAGGAGUAAGACGGAGUGGGAGCAUAUAAUGUGCAGAAAGUUAACUAUUAAUGCACAUCUUGCACAAGAAACAGUCGUGUUCCUUCUAAAUGGACCAUUGCGUUUGAAAGACAUUAGGGUACAGUAAAGAAGUGGACAAAACUAAAGAAGGAAGACCUUCCACCAUGCCAGUUAUCAUCCAAAGUCUGCCGGUCCAGAUUCCUGUACAAAAUAUAUCCAAGAUCACAGCAUGCAAGGAAGCCCAGGUACAAAUCACAGUGAUGUCUAGUGGUACGCCCCCCCGCACCUGAGAGCUUUGGCUCUCGCUCCCCGCACCUCCAGCUAUUUACUUGCGUCUGCUGUAUGGACACUUGGAAUAAAGCAUCGUUUGGCAAAUACUUCUCAGUGGCCAGUAUGGGGAUCCAGAUAAUGCAGAAAAUGAUCAUGCACCAACCCAGGGCAACUCCCCAGGGGGGGUAUUCAAUGUCACCAUGUGUUGGAGAAGAGAAUGUGACCAAGGACCAGAUCAGAAUGGCCUGUAAAUAAGAAGAGGAGUGAUACAGAACCAGCACAUUCUCCACCAGAGCCAGAACAUGAAGCUUUUCUUUCCAAUCAUCAUUUCAAUAUCUUCAAUGAAGCGGUUACCACCUUUACAUGGAAGAAAACCAAAAUAAA